GAAGCGUACUCUGUCUCUGAUCUGGAACAAUAAAGAUGCAUUGUCGGUAACAAUUGACACAAAAUACCGAGGGGAAUUAUGUGGCCUUUGUGGGAAUUUUGAAGACACCAGCACUACAUAUGAUACAACUUUUUUCAAUGAAAAUAAACUAGAUUCAUUGGGACAUACGUGUUUUAGCAAUUCUUCUUCGAACUU